GACAGAGGUGCCGAGCGUUAGGCGGAAUCACUGGGCUUAAAGCGUGUGUAGGCGGACUUCUAAGUACCUUGUGAAAUCCCAUGGCUCAACCAUGGAACGGCUGGGCAUACUGGACGUCUUGAGCCAUCCAGGGGUCGCUGGAACAAACGGUGGAGCGGUGAAAUGCGUAGAUAUCGGGAGGAACACCUGAGGCGAAGGCGGGCUACUGGGCCGAUACUGACGCUGAUGCGCGAAAGCCAGGGGAGCGAACGGG
rnacentral:rRNA from 1 species